rnacentral:snoRNA from 1 species
AAAGCAGGCUGCAAUUACAGUGCUUCAUUCCGUGGGAGUACUGCCAUUGCUCUGUUAACACCCUGUUUGGUUUCACCUAUGCAGUGGUGAAAUUGCUGGUUCUUAACAUGUACAAGU